rnacentral:lncRNA from 1 species
GUCCUCAGGAAACGGCAUGCUGGCCUCUGGGCGCAGAACCUCCACCCUUGUUUGGCUGGUGUCUUGUUGCAGCUGGUGGAUGACUUGUAGUUUUAUGUGCAGAAAAGCUCCUGUUGGGCUCCAGCCAGGCGAGUCACCACUCAAAGAGGGGGUCCAGCCGGGCCAUCAGACUCUUCAGGUGUCGCCCUGUCUGGGCCAGCUGUUGUGUCAGUUGGACCAGCUGUUGAACAGGUUAUGGACCGUGCUGGGACGUCGCUUCAACACAGCCAACAGAGAGAGCUUCCCUUGUGGCUCAGACAGUAUAGAGUCUGCCUGCAAUGAAGGAAACCCAGGUUUGAUCCCUGGGUCAGGAAGAUCUCCUGGAGAAGGAAAUGGCAACCCGCUCCAGUGUUCUUGCCUGGAGAAUCCCAUGGACAGAAGAGCCUGGUGAGCUCCCCUUUGCACCUCUGCGGUAGACGGAGGACAGUGGUGUCUACCUCACUGUUGUUUCUUGUUUAUAACACUGCUUGGCCCAUAGGAAGUACAGAG